ACAAGUAGUCCCCUCACAACGGAUCGUUCGGCACGUACCUGCCGAUGAAAGGAUGAACAA
rfam:Bifidobacterium pseudolongum PV8-2, complete genome.